rnacentral:tRNA from 2 species
GGGGGUGUAGCUCAUUUGGCAGAGCGCGUCAUUAGCAUUCUUCAGAGUCGUUUUGACGAGGUACUGAGUUCAAUUCUUAGCUCCUCCA